GAUGAAGAACGCAGCGAAAUGCGAUAAGUAAUGUGAAUUGCAGAAUUCAGUGAAUCAUCGAGUCUUUGAACGCACAUUGCGCCCUCUGGUAUUCCGGGGGGCAUGCCUGUCCGAGCGUCAUUUGCAACCCUCAAGCCCGGCUUGUGUGAUGGGUGCCGUCCCCUACGGGACGCGCCCCGAAGGCAAUGGCGGCGUCGCGGUUAUCCGAUCAGCCAAAGUGUAUGGGGCUUUGUCACUCACUUUACGGCCCGGACCGGCGCCAGUCCGAAUCAAUCUUUUUUCUAAAGUUGACCUCGGAUCAGGUAGGGAUACCCGCUGAACUUAAGCAUAUCAAUAAGCGGAGGA
rnacentral:misc_RNA from 1 species